rnacentral:lncRNA from 1 species
ACAACCACCAACAACACGCAACUAAAACUCUUGUAUUCCAACUUCUUCUUUUGGCAUCUGGUACGUGUACAGUGGAAACACAGCCAAAAACUCGAAAAAUGCUCAAACUGAAGGUUAAUUCCGCUCCAAGCCUCCUCCGGAGUCAUAGCUUUCGACAGCCAAGGUAGGACUGCGAUUUAGGACGAUUGAACAGUCAAUUCACAGAUUCAGGCCAAAAGUUAUUUGGAAAUCUUUUUCUCCGAAAGCAAACUCCGCACCAUAUUCAUUAACCGUCCUAUUCUCCUUGCGGCAACUCCAUUUGUUGUGGAGUGUAUGCAGCCGUUAGUUCCUCUUGAUUCCCAUUUCUUUACCAGAAAUGAUUAAAUCUUGUGAAGGUGAACAUCCCCUCAUUGAAUCAGUUACGUAAACACUUGAGGUAAUUCCAUGUUUCUUUCUCAACAAGACUCUUGAAGUAUUUAAAAGUGAUGAAUGCAUCGACUUCUCAACAAAAAGUAUAUCCAUAGUUUUCGAGGAAAGUCAAUCAAUGAACCAGAUUGACUAACUCUUGUUGCUAUUUGAUAUGGGAGUGCUCGGACCACACAACUCUGCAGGAUCAUUGGCGUUUCUGUGUUGCCCUCCAAGUGCUCUUCUUUGGAAUGGCAUAGGUCUCGGUUUGCUUUCCUACCAGCAUUGUUUGUACUAAUAUUGUGGAGGCAGAGAAUUGUGGCAGUCCACGGCACCAUUUUCUUGAACUGAAGAGUUCGAGACCCUUGUAGCUUAGAUGACCGAACCUUGCAGUGCCACAAAAAGGGACAAACUGAGAGGUUGUAUGAAAACAAGCUUGCCUUCGUGGUGAGGACCUAGCCACCAGAAAGAACAUUCUAUUUUCUGGACAUCUCGGUUUGGGAUAAUCAAGCCCCUUCAUUGGAUGGUAGAUCCGACACAAAACCACGUGGAUUAAGAUGAUUAAUCCUUCUCCUGCAGCUGACGAUACUCACCAAGUUGUCCUUAACUCCGAAACAAAUAAAACACUCGGGAACCACAUGCAAGAACCACUCAACAUCAGUACCUCACUUCCCUUUUCCCAUCACGGACAUCUUUCGAAAUUAUUUCCAAGUUUCCUAUCUGCCCGCACCCUUUCGUUGAGAUCGCUUAAACAAGGUUUUGCUCAACACAUGUGGUUGCUGCAUCCUGAAUCUAGAAACCACACAUCUUCUCUUCUUUCUCCCGAUCAGCUCAACGUAUGACAUUAGCAACAUUUCUUUCAUCUACCGAGUCAGCAUAUAAUGGCUUCCCAGCUAGGACACUCAUAUUGGAAGUGUACCGAGCUUAUGGCACUUGUAACAUUCAACAAUGGAUUGUCGGAAGAUCUGACGCCCUCUACUCUACCUUUUCCUCUAAAUGAAUCCUCGGCCUCGGCCUCGGCCUCUCCCUCCUGAUCUGUCAUCAGAUUACUUUUAAGGCUUGUUCUUCCCCAUGAUGCUUAUGAACUUAUGCUCGAUGAACAAUUAGAGAGCUUUGCCAACUCAUCGAUGGAUAGACGCAAUAUCUUCGGACUCCUCAAUUAGAACAAAACAAUGUAAUUUAAAUUUGUCUGUUAAAGGAACGAAGUAUUUCUCUACAAAUUAGUAACAUCCACCAUGCGCUCACCAUUGCACCCUCAUUUUGUUAGCCACUGACAUGACCCUUGAAAAAUAAUAGAAAACUUUCUCACCAGAUGUAUCUCCAAAGGUUUCAAACUCUUUAGAAGAGCUUGAAGAACUGAUCGAUAUCAACUAGUGCAUUUCCCCUUCAUAUUUUUUUUUCAUUGAGUCCCAAAUCUGCGUUGAGGGUUAUUCUGAAGAAUGGUCUCCCAAAAAUGUUCGGUCAAUGGCCUGGAACAAAUAAUCUUUACCUUCAGAUCCUCAACUUCAACUAGUCAAGCCUUCUUUGCUGGCUUCUGUCAAGCCGCUCCAUCCUCGGAUCAGAAUAUCCAAUCUCACCAAGAGACUCCAAUUACUCUUUAGACAUUAGAAAAUUUCCAUUAGCUACUCAUGCGCAUAAUGGACCAUCGAAAUCGAGGAAUUGCAGGUUGCCACAAAAUUCCCUUCACUCGCUAUCUUUCUCUCUCUGUUUGGAAGUUCUCAAAGUCUGCCCUACUUUUUCGCUCAGCCCAGUGGGGGCUCUUAUACCAGAAUGUUGAGAACUAAGAACUCAAGGUAAAACUUAUGAACUUGAGCACAGGCAAAACAAAUCUGGGAAUCCUUCUUAUUGAAUGAAACAGAACUGGGGCUAUUAAAUAGCUUUACAAACAUAACAGAAAGCAACAAAUAAGCCCACGUUCAUGCUAACUAAAAUCGUGGUAAUCAACAGAAGAAUAGGUCAAUAACAACCUACUUCCCUAUUCAAUAGGGAGUAUUCAAACCAGAAAGAUAAAGACUCUAACUGAAAAAACCUAUUAUCUUGACCAUUUUUUUUCUAACAGAUCUGAAAUCUGUUUCAGCACAAUUUUUUUCUUCAAUAAAACAGUUUCUGCAAUUAG